AAAUGUGAGGGUGAUCUGGCUGCAACAUCUGUCACCCCAUUGAUCACCAGGGUUGAUUCAUCUGGUCUGGCUGGCUAGGUAAGUGUCCCCUUCCUCCAUCACCACUCCAUGUGCAUCCCUCCUGAAGCUACACACUCAUUCAAAGAGGAGGACUGUCCCAGAUAUAGGAGGACCAUUCUUUGGUCCACGGUAUCUUAGUAGCUGUGCUCCCCUUCUAGAACCUCCAAACAUGAUCAUUUUAUUUUAAAACACUGAAAGAUUCAAUUUAAGUAUAUCAGCAUGCAUCACAAGUUUAUAUCCUUCUGAAAUGCAAAACAACAUAU
ensembl:misc_RNA 7SK 7SK RNA